rnacentral:rRNA from 1 species
GAUGAACGCUGGCGGCGUGCCUAAUACAUGCAAGUCGAGCGAACAGAUGAGGAGCUUGCUCCUCUGACGUUAGCGGCGGACGGGUGAGUAACACGUGGAUAACCUACCUAUAAGACUGGGAUAACUUCGGGAAACCGGAGCUAAUACCGGAUAAUAUAUUGAACCGCAUGGUUCAAUAGUGAAAGACGGUUUUGCUGUCACUUAUAGAUGGAUCCGCGCCGCAUUAGCUAGUUGGUAAGGUAACGGCUUACCAAGGCAACGAUGCGUAGCCGACCUGAGAGGGUGAUCGGCCACACUGGAACUGAGACACGGUCCAGACUCCUACGGGAGGCAGCAGUAGGGAAUCUUCGGCAAUGGGCGAAAGCCUGACGGAGCAACGCCGCGUGAGUGAUGAAGGUCUUCGGAUCGUAAAACUCUGUUAUUAGGGAAGAACAGAUGUGUAAGUAACUAUGCACGUCUUGACGGUACCUAAUCAGAAAGCCACGGCUAACUACGUG